rnacentral:rRNA from 1 species
GACGAACGCUGGCGGCAUGCCUAACACAUGCAAGUCGAACGAGACCGUCGGGUCUAGGGGCGCUGGGGUGCGUAACGCGUGGGAACCUGCCCUUAGGUUCGGAAUAACUCCCCGUAAGGGGAGCUAAUACAGGAGGAGGUCAUCGGACCUAAGAUUUAUGGCCGUUGGGUGGGGCCGUGUUAGAUUAGCGGGUUGGUAGUGUAAAAGCCUACCAAUGCGACGAUCCAUAGCUGGUGUGAGAGCAUGAUAAACCACACUGGGAAUGAGACACGGCCCAGACUCGUACGCGACGGAGCAGAGGGGUAUAUUGGACAAUGGGCGCAAGUCUGAUCCAGCAAUGCCGGGUAAGUCGUGAAGGCGUUAGGGUUCCACAGCUCCUUUUGACGGGAUGUUAAUGACGGUAACGGGUGAAUAAGCUCCGGCUAACUACGUG